GUUGAUGCGAGCAAGUUCAUCUCUCUUUCUCUUUCCGCGACUGUGUGUACCGAGCCUCUUUUUAAUAAAUUUCAGACAACGUUUAUCUUUGUUAAUUUUCAACAACUCAAUCGCACGCUUUUCAUAUGGUGCAAGUCCGCAAACUUCUUGCAUUAUGUCUCUAACAAACUUGACAUUUUUGCUCAAUUUUCCUUUUCUCCUUGCUUGAGAUGGCUUUAACUUGUUUUUGGUUGUCUUAUGACCUUUUUUCAAACCAACAGCUAUCUCUAAAGGAGCCAUUUCUGAA
rnacentral:sRNA from 1 species